rnacentral:rRNA from 1 species
UACAGAGGUCUCAAGCGUUGUUCGGAUUCAUUGGGCGUAAAGGGUGCGUAGGUGGCGCCGUAAGUCGGGUGUGAAAUUUCGGGAGCUUAACUCCGAAACUGCAUUCGAUACUGCGGUGCUUGAGGGACUGGAGAGGAGACUGGAAUUCAUGGUGUAGCAGUGAAAUGCGUAGAGAUCAUGAGGAAGACCAGUGGCGAAGGCGGGUCUCUGGACAGUUCCUGACACUGAGGCACGAAGGCCCAGGGGGGAGCAAAACGGGG